CAAGCCCAUACAUUCUGCAGUGAGCAAUCUAAUUAUGUAAUCACGUCCAUGAUAAGUAUCUGUUCCUCUUCUUAAGUAUCUGUUCCUGGACACUCCUUGGAAAAGGAAGUCUUGAAAAUCUUUCGAUCAACAGGCUCAUGAUCUCAAGCUUUGUUUAACCGGAGAAAAGGAACCUGAACAACAUUUGGAUAGAUAAUAAUAAUGUUUAACUGAGUCCGUGUGAACUGAAAGGGCAUCUAUGCAAUAACUAGUGGAGUUUUAUUCUACGGACCCUACCCAGUGUGUGGACAAUGCAGUGGCCUAUUCAUAUGGAGUAGUUUAUGAAACUGACACCUACCAUUACUCACGAGAUGCACUGUGUGAGGAUGACCCAUUUGGUUUCAAUGGGGUGGUGGUUACAGAAGAAGUGUCUUUUCCAAUACGGAGAUGUACUCCAUUUCUAAGCCAUAACAGGCCAAACAACCCUGCAGAAGCAGACAGAGGUCUGUCUGGAAAUAAUGGAGAAAUGUUAGAUCUGGUGGCAGUAAAUGAACAAUCUUUUCCAAACUUCACUCCAAGACGAUCUGACCAUGUGCAUCUAACUCAUAUAUAUCCUAGUGUGAACAACUACCUCACUCAAGAAAUAGUGGAUCUGGUGGCAGUAGAAGAACAAUUCUUUCCAAACUUCACUCCAAGACGUUCUCACCAUGUGCAUCUACCUCAUAUACAUCCUACUGUGAACAACUAUCUCACUCAAGGUCAAGGGCAUGGCUCACUACAACAAGAUAUGGAGCCCUCAGGACUGAUCGAGCGUUGGUAUGAAGAAUCGAACACGGUGGACGAUGACAAACAGGAUCGGGAGGAAUACUGAGCUAAAGUGGCAUGAUGUUGUCUGAGCAUCAGCAUAAAGUAACAUCACAGACAGCAAAAUUAUGUUAAUCAGCAAAGGGGGUCAAUAAGUUAAACAUUUGACCUUAGCAAACACAUACUGUAACCUUCCCGUUUGCUUUGCUUCCAGCUCCUGUGUUGUUUGUAACAUUCCUGUAAAUAAUUAUUAACAGUUAAUAAAGAACAAAAAUUGGAAUGUUUUGUCCCUCUGGUUCCUAGGAAUAGCUGUCAGUAGAUCUGUAAAGUAAUUUGAUCAUUUUACUCACCACCCCUAAUAACUCUUGCCAAACAUGUUUAUUCAUUAGUAAACAGUUAACAGCAUAUACAGUUGAAGUUUACAUACACUUGAGACAAAUACAUUUAAACUCAGUUUUUCACAAUUCCUGACAUUUAGUCCUAGUAAAAAUACCAUGUCUCAGGUCAGUUAGGAUCACUACUUUAUUUUAAGAAUGUGAAAUGUCAGAAUAAUAGAGAUUUAUUUCAGCUUUUAUUUCUUUCAUCACAUUCCCAGUGGGUCAGAAGUUUACAUACAUUCAAUUAGUAUUUGCCUUUAAAUUGUUUAACUUGCGUCAAAUGUUUUGGGUAGCCUUCCACAAGCUUCCCACAAUAAGUUAGGUGAAUUUUGGCCCAUUCCUCCUGACAGAGCUGGUGUAACUGAGUCAGGUUUGUAGGCCUCCUUGCUCGCACACACUAUCAGUUCUGCCCACAAAUUUUCUAUGGGAUUGAGGUCAGGGCUUUGUGAUGGCCACUCCAAUACCUUGACUUUGUUGUCCUUAAGCCAUUUUGCCACAACUUUUGAAGUAUGCUAUGGGUCAGUGCUUCUUCCUUGCUAAGCAGCCUUUCAGGUUAUGUCGAUUAUAGGACUCGUUUUACUGUGGACAUAGAUACUUUUGUACCGGUUUCCUCCAGCAUCUUCACAAGGUCCUUUGCUGUUGUUCUGGGAUUGAUUUGCACUUUUCACACAAGUAUAUUCAUAUCUAGGAGACAGAACGCGUCUCCUUCCUGAGCGGUAUGACGGCUGCGUUGUCCCAUGGUGUUUAUACUUGCGUACUAUUGUUUGUACAGAUGAACGUGGUACCUUCAGGCGCUUGGAAAUUGAUCCCAAGGAUGAACCAGACUUAUGGAGGUCUACAAUUUUUUUCUGAGGUCUUGGCUGAUUUCUUUUGAUUUUCCCAUGAUGUCAAGCAAGUUGGAAGUUGGAAGGUAGGCCUUGAACUACAUCCACAGGUACACCUCCAAUUGACUCUAAUUAUGUCAAUUAGCCUAUCAGAAGCAUCGAAAGCCAUGACACCAUUUUCUGGAAUUUUCCAAGCUGUUUAAAGGCACAGUCAACUUGGUGUAUGUAAACUUCUGACCCACUGAAAUUGUGAUACAGUGAAUUAUAAGUGAAAUAGUCUGUCUGUAAACAAUUGUUGGAAAAAUGAUUGUGCACAAAGUAGAUGACCGACUUGCUAAAACUAUAGUUUGUUAACAAGAAAUUUGGAGUGGUUGAAAAACAAGUUUUAAUGACUCCAAUCUAAGUGUAUGUAAACUUCCAACUUCAACUGUAGCUAUUCUGGGUACCAGUCUGUUUAGCUAUCAUUCCACUCUUUGCAACUAACAUACAGCAUAUGACACUGAAUACAAGGAGUAGAAUGUUAGCUAAACAGAUUGGUACCUAGGCUAGCAUACUGCAUUAUACGUCAGACGAUUGUGAAAUAGCAGACUCGGGCAUAAUGCAAUGUCAGUGUGGGUCUAGAGUACAACUUCAAGGGAAAGGAGGGGAGCCUCUCACGCUAAACCUGGGUCUUUAUUUAGCUUUUGAGUGAGUUUGAGCGUGAGCAUGUUCGUUAGACCACCACUGUGCUGUGCCAUUUUCUCAUUUGACUUCAAGAGUGGCGAGAACAAGAAUGGUCACAUAAGGCUUGACAAGUAGUUCCUGCCAAGGUUGGAGUUGGAGUUAGUUAUGUAUGUUAACUUAAUAUGAAUAGUUUCCCAUGGCUUCUUAUUGACAUUAUAACAAAUACGUGGAGUCUUACCAAUCAAGUCAAAUGAAACAAUUAAUGAUGAUCAGCAAAAUGUUAGUGGAUCCACAGUUCUCCUCUGCUCCCACAAUCAUAGUCUAUACAACCCAGUUUAUGUUAAAUAAAAAAGUAAGCCUAAAACCCGUUUGUUUCUCAAUAAUGCUGACCAUAGUGGUUUACUUCUGAACAAGUUUAAUUUCCUCUUGUAAAAUAACUAGCUACAGAUUUAACUCAAUCAUUACACGAAUGGGAACUAAGCAGCAUCGCACAGAGCACAGUCUAUAUUAUAAAACCAGAACAUAUUUUUGGUAAGAGUUAAUUAGUGCAGUAUUACCUAUGUAGGCCUUUGAACAUGCCUUCUGGGUUUUUAUUUAUCGAUCUUUGAAGGAGGACACUAAAACAGGUUUUAGUUGGAAGAAUACUUUUUCAACAGCUCCCUGACAGCAUAUUAAGCCUUUAUUUGACUUUGGAAUUGGACAAUGAACAACACUUGGCACAGUAAGUAACUUAUACAAGGAUUCAUGUCAAUGAGACUAAGUUUUCAGACGGGAACAACCCCACGGUAAGGAAACGGAUGUAUUGCAUGGUUUCAAUCAGUUUCAAUCGGUUUCAUCUGAAAUAUUCAAAAUACUGAAAUGUCUUCAAAAAAUACACAGUUUAUUCUUUAGUUACUAAAAACUAAUACAAAGAGUUAAGAUUAAGUAAAUGAGGCACAGUUGCACCAAACGUACAGUCACAGUACUUACGUAGGUUAGUGGGCGGAACCUUUCUUCAUCCACAACGACUGCAAACAUGGCGCUAAAACAUUUUGAUGCCGAAAAGGUAGUGUUUCGUGUUUAAAACUCUUUUUUUUCUCUCUAUACAUAUGGAAAUGAAGAAUGUUGAUCUACAUUAAACAUAGACUAUGUGCAUACAUGUGUGUAGAUUUUUGGCAAGAUAGAGGUCAACAACAUAUUGUGUGUGCUAUGCUACUCAACAAGUGCAAUAUAAUUACAUAACUGUAUAUCAUUUUUGCUAUAAUUUCACAAGAUAUUUGGUAAUUUAGCACAAUAGUGUAGACGGAAGUUUUGACCAAAUUUUAGACUAUAGGGAUCAUUCAUCCCUCGGGGCAUGGCACAGGAAACAGCCUCGGAGACGACAGUCAAAGUCCGUUUUGGCGAGGGUAGCACAUGCAGACCUACUACAAUAUCCAUUGAGUUCCAAAUGAGUAAACUACAACAAUUUAACUAUAUGAUAAAGAAAAUGAACUUCUUCACUUUAUUAUGUUUCAUUCAGUACAGUGGUUAUUAAAGUUAUGAAUGCAUUUUGUGAUGUUGCAGACCCAGAGUGAGGCUCAGAAUGAGGAGAAUCCAGGCGUCAGCCCCUCUGAGGUUGAGAAUUGUGAUGAACGGCAUCCUCACCAACCUUUAACGAUCUCACAACAAUGUGAAGAAAACCCAUUGGCUUUCAAUAUAGAAGUGUAUUUUGAAAAUCUGCACUUUCCUCGGAGGAGGUGUACUCCAUUUAACAUCCCAGCCAUAAUUCAGAACAACCAUAUGGAGUCAACCAUGCUUGAAAACAGCAACUGGGGUGGCUGCUGUGAAUAUACCUCCUCAUCUACGCUUCAUCGCAAUAGAACCAUCUCCAGACUGUGUCCAGGCAGCUCGACCUCAUAACGAAGGCUCUUCCUCACAGCUUUCACCUCAACACCAGCUAUGUUGAUGAUGGUAGGGUUUCACUAUAGUUGAAGGUAUGGUUGCACAAAAGCACAACCAUACCUUCAAUCAAGCAAGGUGUCUAGUUAUAGCUUAAACAGCAUGGAGGCACCCAGAGCAGCAACAUUAAUGAACACAAGAAUCACCAAAUGUGUAUUCACAGCUACCGCUACAUGAAAUGAUACCACGCAGAAAGCACACCAUCAUGUUACGACUGACCUAUCAUAGAUCUAAAAUUGAGAUAAAACUGUGGUGGUGUUUAAUAUGUGCAUGGAGUCACUCUCAGUUAGACAUAAGCAGCUGUCAUGUCAUGAGGGCUUCUACCCCGUUCUGUCCUGUUGCUUCAGCAGUCAAAACACAUCAGGGAUAAAGAGCUCCAUUAUCCCUGGAAGAAGAGAUGAAGUGAAGGAAAAGGCUGCUUUUUACAGCAUUUUCUGCUAAAAAUAUGUAUAAAACCGUCACACACUUAUCUGUUUCAUCUGUCUUUGUGAUUGUCUCCACCCCCUCCAGGUGUUGCCCAUCAGGUGUUGCCCAUCUUCCCCAUCAUCCCCCUGUGUAUUUAUACCUGUGUUCUGUCUGUCUGUUGCCAGUUCGUCUUGUUUGUCAAGCCUUCCAGCAUUUUUCGUCUCAUCUACUGCUUCUCCCCAGUCUCUCUUUUUCUCACCCUCCUGAUUUUGACCCUUGCCUGUCCCAUCUCCGAGCCCACCUGCCUGAUCACUCUGCCUGCCCCCGACCCUGAGCCUGCCUGCCGUCCUGUACCUUUGCCCCACCUCUGGAUUACCGACCUCUGCCUGACCUGACCCUGAGCCUGCCUGCCGUCCUGUACCUUUGCCCCACCUCUGGAUUACCAACCUCUGCCUGACCUGACCCUGAGCCUGCCUGCCGUCCUGUACCUUUCCUCCACUACUCUGGUUAUUGACGCCUGCCUGCCUUGACCUGUCGUUUGCCUGCCCUGUGGCCGUAAUAAACAUUGUUACUUCGACCGUCUGUAUCUGGGUCUUACCUUGGUUCCUGAUAAAAACACCAAGAGUGCUUUGGUGGUGGGUCAUUCCUACGUUGCGGUGCCUUUUGGACCACAUACAUUUUGUGAAAAAAAGUAUAUAUUUUUCAUUUGUUUUGAAUUCAAUCAGAAAAAAGACAUGUUUGACUUUCAGAAAAAGCUCAGGCACUUAAAUCCUAAUAAAUAUGGGCAUGUUGUUCACACAUGGACCAUGGAAUAUUUCCACCUGUUAGGGACAAACACAUAACUGUCUGAAAGUGCUAUCAAUGCAUGUAUAUACAUAGAUUUAGAUGUUCUAAGACAUCAAAUGUGCCUUACUCUAUUACUUUAAUUUACUUACUACUAUACUUUUUUAUUUUUUAUUUAACUAGGCAAGUUAUUUAACUAGCAACUAAAUCAAUGAUUAUUGAAAGAAACAUGUGUUAUUUUCAGAACCAAAGCUUCAUUUGUGCCACAUUCUUCCUAAUAAGAGUGAAAAACAACAGAAUUUGGUCAACAUUUUUACAUUUGUAAUUGAUCCCAUCUAUCUCUACAAGUUACCACAAAGAUAUACAUAACAGUUGAUGGAAUUGUUCAAUUAUGAUUUUUAAAACACUGACCUAACAGGGUGGAAAGCAAUAACAGGGUGGAACAAACACCAGUAAUGAGCAAAAUAUUUAAACAAUUAAA